CAGUCGCCGCGGGAACACGUAGGUGGCAAGCGUUGUCCGGAAUUAUUGGGCGUAAAGGGCUCGCAGGCGGUUUCUUAAGUCUGAUGUGAAAGCCCCCGGCUCAACCGGGGAGGGUCAUUGGAAACUGGGAAACUUGAGUGCAGAAGAGGAGAGUGGAAUUCCACGUGUAGCGGUGAAAUGCGUAGAGAUGUGGAGGAACGCCAGUGGCGAAGGCGACUCUCUGGUCUGUAACUGACGCUGAGGAGCGAAAGCGUGGGGAGCGAACAGGAUUAGAUACCCCUGUAGUCCCUGUCUCUUAUAU
rnacentral:rRNA from 1 species